rnacentral:tRNA from 1 species
UCAGGCGUCGGCUAACUGGUAGGCCAGCAGACUUUGACUCUGCCCGUCUAGGUUCGAACCCUAGCGCCUGAACCA